UAGCUGCUGAUGGAGCCCAUGUAGAGCUCAUAGGUGCUGUGAGAGAGGAUACAAACAGGCCAUCCAGGAGGAGAUCAUGGAUCACCAUCCUCUUCUUCUUCAAGACAUAAUAUUGAAUUUAGAACCGUUAAUGACUCAGUAAUGGUCUGUACUCUUUAAAUAAAAGGAAGAGUCUUACGUUUUGCACUUCAAAUAAAAAGCUGUGCAUCUUACACUACUUUGUCACACUGAGAAUGCAAAGGAAAUGUUCAAGAA